CGUAAUAUCACAACGGCAUUCAAGAUUAGCGCACAGCUGAUAAUGAGAUCAACGAUCAUUGCAUACCUUUUGAUUCUGUUCUUAAGUGACCAAGCCCGUUCAUGUUCCGUGGUUGAUAAUAGUCCGAGUAUACAACAACGAUUUCAUGGGGUGGAUUGUUUAAGAAGCAACGAGAAUGAGCUAAAACAUGGGAGCGAAUAUAACAUAAAACAAGGACAGAAAGCCCGUCAAAUCCCAACCGGUGGCAGUGUAAAUAUGAAUCGCCAUCGUCAUGCUCCACGAAACAAAGCACCAUUAAAGCUUAAAAGAUCCUUCACCAUCAGUUUUGGACCUUGUUUUCUCCUCCUUUUUGCCUUCUAACACUUACAAUUUCAGUUUUGCACUUUGUUUUCAUCACCUUCUAAAACAAGGCACCACUGUGCUUGAUACCAUUUCAACAGAUUGGUUUGGCAAAUUUAGAGGCAAGAUUUCCAAGUCAGAUUAGUUAUUAACUUCCCCCUCC